rnacentral:rRNA from 1 species
GGAUUAGAUACCCUGGUAGUCCACGCCGUAAACGAUGUCUACUAGUUGUUGGGAGACUUGAUCUCUUAGUGGUGCAGCUAACGCACUAAGUAGACCGCCUGGGGAGUACGGUCGCAAGAUUAAAACUCAAAUGAAUUGACGGGGGCCUGCACAAGCGGUGGAGCAUGUGGUUUAAUUCGAAGCAACGCGAAGAACCUUACCUACUCUUGACAUCCAGAGAACUUUCCAGAGAUGGAUUGGUGCCUUCGGGAACUCUGAGACAGGUGCUGCAUGGCUGUCGUCAGCUCGUGUUG